AUUGAACGCUGGCGGCAGGCCUAACACAUGCAAGUCGAACGAGUGGCGGACGGGUGAGUCAUGUCUGGGAAACUGCCUGAUGGAGGGGGAUCACUACUGGAAACGGUAGCUAUUACCGCAUACCAUCGGAUGUGCCCAGAUGGGAUUAGCUAGUAGGUGGGUUAAAGGCGAACCUAGGCGACGAUCCCUAGCUGGUCUGAGAGGAUGACCAGCCACACGGGAACGGAGACACGGUCCAGACUCCAACGGGAGGAAGCAGUGGGGAAUAUUGGACAAUGAGCGCAAGCCUGAUGCAGCCAUGCCGCGUGUAUGAAGAAGGCCUUCGGGUUGUAAAGUACUUUCAGCGGGGAGGCGUUACCCGCAGAAGAAGCACCGGCUAACUCCGUGCCAGCAGCCGUGGUAAUAC
rnacentral:rRNA from 1 species